rnacentral:lncRNA from 1 species
UUUUUUAGUAGAGACAGGGUUUCACCAUGUUGGCCAGGAUGUUCUCCAUCUCUUGACCUCGUGAUCUGCCGGCCUCGGCCUCCCAAAGUGAUGGGAUUACAGGUGUGAGCCACCGCGCCCAGCCAAUCUCAGAUAUUUCUUUACGGCAAUGCUAGAAUGGACUAAUACACCAUCUUCUCUUGGCCUCCUCCUCACAUUGUGGCAAGGAGAGAAACUGAGUCCGAGGGAUGUCAACAUGCCAAGUCCAUGGAAAUAUCAGUGGGCUGGAAUUCUAGCUGCCUGAAAGAAGACAUUCCUCACACAAGACCUCACAAUCAUAUCCAUGGAAUUAUAGCACUGGGCUCUCCAGAUGGUGCUACAGGAAGACCUCCAGAAAUUUGACAAUCCUCUAUUCAAGGCCCUACCACAGAGACACACAGGAACGGAACUCAGAAUCACAAACAAAGAAACUUUGAUCCAAGAAAGAAAAUGAUCUUUAAAAAGACCCUCGUUUCAUGCUGGCCGAUGCUGAGAAAAUCUGCUCUGAAGGAUAUUUGGAGACACUGAUUAAAAGAUGGUUGUCCCAGUGGAGGGGGAUUCUUCGUGUUACGUAGAUAGGAAGCACGAUGCAAAAGUGUUGAAGCAGGAGUGUAAAGAAUAAUUAAAACACCUGCCCAAGACCCAAGCAAGGAUAGGAUUUCCCAGACAUUCGUGAGGGAGAAAAUGCCAUGUCCUUUCCUUCUGGUGUCACAUCAGAAUCUGAAGGCUGCUAGAGAAGGGAGAGAAACAUGAAAGUGAGUCCCAUGCUGAUUGUUGUUGAAAUACCUGGAAAGAAACUGGCAAAGACUAUCCAAGGGAUGCUAAGACAUGUCCGAACUUACAAAACAGUAGAACCUGAAUAGGAAUUUGAAGUUGUCUAUACUCUCCUCAGCCACACCCUGCCAUUUUACAGAUUGUCUUCUCUGGGGAAGUUAGCUGUCAUGUUGUGAGGAUACUCAAGCAGUUUAUAAAGAGGUUCAUGUCGCAAGGAAUGGAGGCCUCCUGCCAACAGCCAUGUAAAGGAGCCAUCUAGGAAAUAGAUUCUCCAGCCCCAGUCAGACCUUCAGAUGAUUACAGCCCCUACCAACCUUCUGACUGCGGUGGAAGGAAGGUUCCGGAACCAGAACCACCCAGGUUAAUGUGGGUAAGUCUCAUCCAAUCCUUUGAAGGCCUGAAGAACAAAGAGUGAGGUUUCUGGAAGAAGAAAAUUUUACCUCAAGCCUGCAAUGUAGAAAUUCUGCUUGAGUUUCCCGCCUGCUGGCCUGCCCUGUGGAAUUCGGAGUCAAGAAGGAGUCUUGUAAGCAUUAACUGAGAUAGUAUAUGAAGAGUGCUUUUGCACCGAGUGAACCUUCAAUCAACUGUACUAGUUUGUAUGCCUGGAAGAGCUGCUAUAUGGGAUCAGAAAGAAAAAUAAGGUGCAUACGCCAGAAAAAAAAUACUUGCAUAUGAGUACUAGGAGAUGCAUGACAAUGUUCACGGCAGCAGUAUUCAUGGCAGUGAAAAAUGAAAAGAACUGAAAUGCCCAUUGAUAAAAACGUCUACUUAUUUGUGUCAUCUUUGCACAGUGGAAUUGUGCGAGUGGAAAUGAUUGAUCUACAGCUAGGAGAAGCAGCAGAGCUCAAUCUCAAAAACAUAACGUUGUGUGGAAAAAGCUAACCUCAGAACACUUUGCGGCUCUAUCUUAGCAAACCAGGAGAGAAAUUCUCCUGAUGGCCUUGAAGAAGCAAACAGCCACCUGGUUAAGCCCCUGUGGAUAGUGCCAAGUGGCAGGAAAGUGGGAGCCACCUCUAGGACCUGAGGAUUAAAGUCAGUAAGAGCUGGGACCUCACUCAUGCAGACUCGAGGACAUGAAUUCGACCAACAACUUGAAUGAGCUUGGAAGUGGAUUCUUCCCUAGUCCAGUCUUCAGAAAUUAAGAAUGUUCCCAAAGAAUGAUGGAGACAUUUCAAAAGGAUACGGAAGCCAGAUUGUGGGCGCUUCUACUGGCCAACUCUGGGACAUCGUGGACAUCAAAAUAAAUUUGUAAUAAUAAAGGAUUAUAGCCUAUUAGUUAAAUCAGAAAAAUCUGAUUUAACUAAAUGAGUAGGAGGAAAAGAAAGCUCUUCCUUAUAUUAGAAAGUCAAUUAAUAAAUGCAGAAAGGAAUGAAAAAAUUAGAAAAGCCACCAUUUGGCAACCAUGGCAGGCAGAAUGGGGAGUAUGCCUCCAGACAGUAAUUCCUUUCAAACUGGUUUAUAGGAACUCACUGAGCUUGCUGAUCGACCUCUGAGAGGCAAAGUUUCUGAAUUAUGAAGUACUGAUUAUAUAAACUUAGACAGAGACAUGCUUCAUUAUUUAAUAGGACUGUGUCAAAAGCCUACUAUUAGGAUGAUGUGUUGGGUGUGGAACAGGGUCUCUUCCUGCCAGGAACACUGGUGAUUUCACUCCGUGUUCAGGCUGAUCUUUGAAGUUGAAGACAAGCAGAAGAAUCCUUCUAAAAUUUAGCCAUGCCCAUAGGCUGGGAGGGACACUGCUCCAUUCAGAGGCAGCAAAGCACAUUACUGUAUCUCCUAUAGAGCUUUGAGCAGUCCAGUGUACAUGGAGAAACUUAGUAAAUGUUGUUGAAUUAGUGAAUGAACAAAUCAAUGGACCAAGUCAGGGGUAAGUCUUACAUUUGUCAUCUAGGUGAUUAAGAAAGGAAAAAGUAUCUGUUUCAAGAGGAUUACAAUCUAACUGUACUCCAAUAGUAAAAUUUACUCUUUUGGAAUCUGA